AGAGUUUGAUCCUGGCUCAGGAUGAACGCUGGCGGCGUGCUUAACACAUGCAAGUCGAACGGUCUUAGCAAUAGGACAGUGGCGCACGGGUGAGGAACACGUAGCUUAUCUGCCCAGAAGCGCGGGAUAACGCCCCGAAAGGGGUGCUAAUACCGCAUAAGCUCCCGCCCUACAGAGGGGUGGGAGAAAAGGGGCAACCCACUUUUGGAGGAGGCUGCGGCCCAUCAGGUAGUUGGUGAGGUAACGGCCCACCAAGCCGACGACGGGUAGGGGACCUGAGAGGGUGAUCCCCCACACUGGGACUGAGACACGGCCCAGACUCCUACGGGAGGCAGCAGUGAGGAAUAUUGCCCAAUGGGCGCAAGCCUGAGGCAGCGACGCCGCGUGGGUGAUGAAGGCCUUCGGGUCGUAAAGCCCUUUUC
rnacentral:rRNA from 1 species